rnacentral:rRNA from 1 species
CAGAACGAACGCUGGCUCCCGUGCCUAACACAUGCAAGUCGAACGAGAAAGCGGGGGCAACUCCGCGAGUACAGUGGCGCACGGGUGAGUAACACGUGACUAACCUGCCCUUAAGUGGGGGAUAACCUCGGGAAACCGGGGCUAAUACCGCAUAACCUCGUGAGGUGAAAUUCCUUGCGAGCAAAGGAGCAAUUCGCUUUUGGAGGGGGUCGCGGCUGAUUAGGUAGUUGGCGGGGUAACGGCCCACCAAGCCGAUGAUCAGUAUCCGGCCUGAGAGGGCGCACGGACACACUGGAACUGAAACACGGUCCAGACUCCUACGGGAGGCAGCAGUGGG